rnacentral:rRNA from 1 species
AUUGAACGCUGGCGGCAUGCUUUACACAUGCAAGUCGAACGGUAACAGGCCGCAAGGUGCUGACGAGUGGCGAACGGGUGAGUAAUGCAUCGGAACGUGCCCAGUCGUGGGGGAUAACUACUCGAAAGAGUAGCUAAUACCGCAUACGAUCUAUGGAUGGAAGCGGGGGACCGUAAGGCCUCGCGCGAUUGGAGCGGCCGAUGUCAGAUUAGGUAGUUGGUGGGGUAAAGGCUCACCAAGCCAACGAUCUGCAGCUGGUCUGAGAGGACGACCAGCCACACUGGGACUGAGACACGGCCCAGACUCCUACGGGAGGCAGCAGUGGGGAAUUUUGGACAAUGGGCGCAAGCCUGAUCCAGCAAUGCCGCGUGCAGGAAGAAGGCCUUCGGGUUGUAAACUGCUUUUGUACGGAACGAAACGGCUCUGGUUAAUACCCGGGGCUAAUGACGGUACCGUAAGAAUAAGCACCGGCUAACUACGUG